GACGGAGGAUGCAAGCGUUAUCCGGAAUGAUUGGGCGUAAAGCGUCCGCAGGUGGCAGUUCAAGUCUGCUGUCAAAGACCGGGGCUUAACUUCGGAAAGGCAGUGGAAACUGAACAGCUAGAGUAUGGUAGGGGCAGAGGGAAUUCCUGGUGUAGCGGUGAAAUGCGUAGAGAUCAGGAGGAACACCCGGGGCGAAGGCGGCCCUCUGGCUCGACCCUGACGCUGAGGCGCGAAAGCGUGGGGAGCGAACGGG
rnacentral:rRNA from 1 species